ensembl:lncRNA
AUGCGGAUGGACAGUGUGUGUUUUUCCUCUAGGUGUGUGGGCCGACUUCUCUCCUAUGUUAUCGCAGAAUCCUAUAUUCUGUCAUUCUGCAUCCUGCGGCGUCCCUCACAGAUAAAUGAUCGAGCUCAGCCGGAGGAUGUGUUUAGAUCUAGCAAUCCCUACUCCAUGAAGCUGGAGUUUGUGGACGAUCCAAACUUCCCGAAUAAAAAGGUCAAUUACUCCUACAGCGCCGUCCAAAUCCCUACGGACAUCUAUAAAGGCUCACCGGUCAUCCUGAAUGAGCUAAACUGGACCCAGUCUUUGGAGAAAGUAUUCAUUGAUAAUCGCCGGGAGGACAGCUCUCUGCGGUGGCAGGUGUUCGGCAGCGCCACAGGGGUCACGAGAUAUUACCCAGCCGCUCCGUGGAGCAGUACACAGAAUAAGAUUGACCUGUAUGAUGUCCGCAGACGGCCGUGGUACAUCCAGGGAGCGUCAUCUCCCAAGGACAUGGUCAUCAUUGUGGAUGUGAGCGGCAGUGUCAGCGGACUCACUCUGAAGCUGAUGAAGAACUCGGUGGUGAAGAUGCUGGAUACGCUGUCUGACGACGACUACGUGAAUGUGGCCAGGUUUAGCGAGAAGGCCGAGGCGGUGGUCCCCUGCUUUAAGACCUUGGUCCAGGCCAACAAGAGAAACAAGAACAUCUUCAAGGAGUCCAUCAUGAACAUGCACGCCAAAGGAACAACCGACUACAAGUCUGGCUUCCAGUUCGCCUUCGAACAGCUGCUCAAUGUAACCCCCAGGGCGGGCUGCAAUAAGAUGAUAAUGAUGUUUACCGAUGGGGGGGAGGAUCGUGCUCAGGACAUCUUUGAGAAGUACAACUGGCCCAACAAAACUAUUCGAGUAUUUACCUUUUCGGUAGGGCAGCAUAACUAUGAUGUCACACCUCUGCAGUGGAUUGCCUGCGCCAAUAAAGGCUUCUACUACGAGAUUCCAUCCAUUGGAGCAAUUCGGAUAAACACACAGGAGUACCUGGAUGUUCUGGGUCGGCCUAUGGUUCUGGCGGGGCCAAGGGCCAAACAGGUCCAGUGGACCAAUGUGUACCAAGAUGCUCUUACUCUAGGUCUGGUCAUUACUGGGACCAUGCCAGUCUUCAACCUAACGGCUGAUGCUAACUCACAGCUCGUCCUCGGCGUCAUGGGAGUGGAUGUGGCGAUCAGCGAAAUUAAGAAAAAGACGCCAACAUACAGGCUUGGAGCUAACGGUUAUACCUUUGCAAUAGACCAAAAUGGCUAUUUACUUCUUCACCCCAACCUGCAGCCGAAGAUCAUUAACUUCAUAGAGCCUGUCACUUUGGACUUCCUGGAUGCUGAGCUGAUGGACAGCAAAAAAGAAGAGGUAACUAGGGCACUCAGCAGAACACCCACACCUCAACAAUGCAGGCUGGUGUUGCCCACGUACAGUGAGAACCACAUCAAGGCCAACCUGAGUGACCAGAUCCUGCAGGUGCAGUAUAAUCUUCCCCUUUCUGUUGCAGAUUUUGAAUCACUGCUGCCAAACAGUUUUGAGUCUGAAGGACAUGUGUUCAUAGCUCCCAGGGAAUACUGCAACGAGCUGGAGCUCUCCAACAACAACACAGAGUUUCUUCUCAACUUCAUCGCCCUCAUGGAGAAGGUGACUCCCGACUCCAAACAAUGUGACAGCCUGCUCCUUCACAACCUCAUCCUGGACACUGGCAUCAUCAGACAGCUGGUGGAGAAGGUGUGGAAGACCAAAGACCUUGCAUCAUAUGGCUUUUUGGCAGUGUUUGCUGCAACAGACGGAGGAAUUACCAGAGUUUAUCCCAACAAGGCUGCUGAGACCUGGGAGGAGGACCCCGAGCCGUUUAACGCCAGUUAUUACCGGCGUAGUCUGGACAACAAAGGCUACAUCUUCAGAGCACCUUAUCAGAACGACACCAUUGGGAUCCUGGUCAGCACUGCAGUGGAGAUCACGGUUGGAGGGAAAACCCUGAAACCUGCUGGUGAGCUGUCCUCCACACAUCACCCACUCUGGGAGCGAAGCUGUGAGAUGGACUGCGACUACAACUCUGAAGAUCUUCUCUGUUACCUAUUGGAUGAUGGAGGUUUUCUGAUUAUGUCCAAUCAGAAGGAGCACUCGAACAAGGUUGGCAUGUUCAUCACUGAAGCGGAUCAGUACCUUAUGCAUGCUCUCUACAACAACUCCCUUUACAACCGAAAGCAGUCCCUUGACUACCAGUCUGUUUGUGAACCUGUGCCAACCAGCAACACCGGGGCUGCACCAAGAGGAGUGUUUGUGCCGACCAUUGCAGACUUUGUGAACCUGGCCUGGUGGACAUCAGCCGCCGUGGAGGCUGAGGGGACGGACUCCAAGGAGACCAGCUGUGUGACGAUACAGACACAGUUUUACUUCACUAACGUCAGCAGCUCCUACGGCAUCAUGCAGGACUGUGGAAACUGCUCCAGGCUGAUCCAUGCCAGGAAGUUAAACAACACAAACCUACUGUUUGUGGUGGCAGAGAAGUUGCCCUGCAAUGCCUGUGAGGCGGAGAAAUUGUCCCAGGUGGAGACUGAAUUCAAGGACCUGAACCCUUCGUGUGACGACAUGAGCGCGGCGCGGUAUCGAAAAGGGCCCACCGUGUGCUACGACUACAACAUCACUGAGAAUACAUCGGACUGUGGGCAGGGCUACUCUUUCCGGCCAUCCGUCCAUACCCUGCUCACGAUCCAGCUCAUCCUCCUCUACCCAAUCUGCCCUGUCCCUGCUCUAGUCAUAGGUAAUUGA